rnacentral:rRNA from 1 species
AGUGGCGGACGGGUGAGUAACGCGUGGGUAACCUGCCUCAUACAGGGGGAUAACAGUUAAGAAAUGACUGCUAAUACCGCAUAAGACCACAGCACCGCAUGGUGCAGGGGUAAAAACUCCGGUGGUAUGAGAUGGACCCGCGUCUGAUUAGGUAGUUGGUGGGGUAACGGCCUACCAAGCCGACGAUCAGUAGCCGACCUGAGAGGGUGACCGGCCACAUUGGGACUGAGACACGGCCCAA